ensembl:lncRNA
UGUUUAGUUUUUUCAUGUUUUAUGUUACUGCUUCCAAAGCUGCUUCACCUUACUUUCUAUAUCAACAGCUGUACCUACAUCUGUCAAUAUAACAGCGGCCCCAACUGCAGCUUCUGUUGCUACAGAGGCCCCUGCAUCCACUGAUCCCCCAACAUCCAGUGAGGGAACCCUUCGCCUUCUGUUCAGUCUCAACCGAACAUUCACAUCCGACCUGUCAAACCCAUCCUCAGCAGCGUUUAAGAAGUUGGCUGCUGAAGUCAUCCAAGAGAUUAACCGAGUGGCCAGGAUUAUCUAUGCAUCGUCUUUCAGACGCACCCUCAUUAACAAUUUCACGAGUGGAUCAGUAAAGGUUGACACCACACUUGUGUUCCAAGAUAAGAGCUCAGUUCCUCAAGCAAGCACUGCGACUGCACAAUUCAUCAGUUUGCUCUCCAAUUCUUCCCUCGGCAUCGUACCCGGCAGCGUUUCUGCACAGUCCACAUCAACUUCAGGCAGCCCCCCCAUGGCCACAAUGGGCUCACUGGCAGUCUUUUCACUUACACUGCUGGCUGUAGCACAGAUGCUAGUCACCCUGUAACAGACACUGAAGGUAACAUUCAAAUAAUGCAUAAAUCUAUCAAAGCAGCGUCAUUUGGUAAAAAGAUGUGUAUUAUUUGUCAAAGAUUGAGGCAGUUUUUCCAUGAUAUUAUGCUGGAAUUACAUGUGUUAUAAUUUCAUAAAAAGA